GUUUACUUGUCUACUUACGGAAUAAGACUGGUGAUCCUAUACAGUUCACACGAACAGUGAUAUAUCGUAACCUACUUUUUAUAUGAUUUCCCUUUAGAACUAAAAUCCCAGUUAUGAUGAACAAAAAGGAUAUUGCUUAUUAGAAGGACAUUUCAACAUCCAAGCACAGAAGACAAGCAACAUCUCCAGCAGCCCAGCUCCCCAAGCUUUGCCAACCAGUACAUUUCAGUAGAACUAAAGCUCAGUCCUUGUGAUACCUUUGAGGAACAAUUACCAGAGGAUUUCCUCUUGAGGAAUUUGAUUUUCAUAACAAAGCGAAAGACAAAUAUGUUUGAUUUUCAUACCAAAGUGAAACCUAAGUGAAUAAGAAAGACAAAGAGCUGCCAGUGGUGCUUAAUCUCUGGACUCCUACAGGUUAAUGGACUGACAAGCAGAAACAGGUGGCAGGGCCGGCAGAGACACAAGCGUCAAUCUCCCCUAUGAGGCCACCACAGGACACUCACUGCCAGCCAGGUGGAAGGAGAGCUGCACUCCGACAGUGCACACACAGUGCCCAGGGUGAGUUUCUAGCUAUCUUCUGAAGGGGAAAAAGAGGAUAGACACCUCUCAGUGGAGAAAGGCCCACUCAUCUAACUGGAGACUGCCCCUGACUGCCUGAAAAUCCACAGAGGACAUCUCUUGAUGUGCCUAAGAAGUUCGCCUGCACAGAUUACAUCUGUGAAACUGGCCAAGGAUCACGUUCUGUGCAGAACAGCCUGCCUGGGAACAGAGACCAAGACAAAAGGAGGAUGAGAGACCUCGGAGGCAGGGACAGAUGGGAUGGGAAAACCUUAUGGAAACUGCUUGUAAGUAAUUACUUGAACAUCUCAUCUGAGGCAUUUGAAUGUCCUUACCAAGGUCAUUAGCUGUGUAUGGAGCAAAAUCUUAUUUUUAAAGUUUGACGCAGUCCGAGGAAUGCUUUGUUCCUAAUUUAGAGCACUUGUGCUGGGAGCUUCCAAGCCCCCGGCGUCCGCUGCCACCCACCGCGUGCUUUGCAGCAGGCCAGAGUCCGCUGGUGGUGAAGUCCCAGAGUUCGUCAGCUCCACAGGGAGCAAGAAAAGCCUGGGAGAGAGCUUGUUUUGGGGAAUUAUUUAGAAAGAAAAUGAGCUUUUGAAAAAGACCUCUUGGGUAUUAGAAUUUGGAUUCUAUUUCAGUAAGUAUUCUCUUCUCUCCCCUUUCUGUUGUGGGCAGAGGAUUCUUUUUUGCUCUUUUAAUCUUGGGGUUGGCCACGUAACUUACUUGGUUUAUAAAAUGUUUGCAGGUAGGAGGCAGACAGAGGUCUUAACUGAACUUGUGCAGUUCAGCAUGGCUCUUUCACCCUGGUGAUUUUUCAGAAGAGCUUCUUUUGGGUAGUUGCCUCUCCUAUGAAGAGCAAAUUUGAAAUCAAUGCAUAGUCUAGUGGACCCACAGCCUAAUGCAGAACCAUCCACCUGAAUCCAGCCCAGAUCUGUGAUCUGUUAAGAUGUUUAUUACACAGCAUUAUGAUAAGAGUAGAUGACUAAUACAUGGAGUUAAAAUUUUCUAUUUUUUUUUUCUGCUUGGGGUUGGAGGUUUAUGUAGACCAUGAUGAUAGAGUUAAAACUCCUUUCACACAAGGUAUGGAAGCGAGCUUCAGUUAGCUUCCAUCUAGAAUUCUGAGACCAAAGAAAACAGAGGCUUGUGACACAGCAGGCCACACUCUAACACAAACACCAGUUGCCCUGAAGUGAGUCCACAGAGAGCCAGGGUUAGCAGACACUGAAAGGCAGUGUCAGAGCAUUUAAGUUAAUUUGGUCUAU
ensembl:lncRNA